rnacentral:rRNA from 1 species
UACGGAGGAUGCAAGCGUUAUCCGGAAUGAUUGGGCGUAAAGCGUCCGCAGGUGGCUAUGUAAGUCUGCUGUUAAAGAGUGAGGCUCAACCUCAUAAGAGCAGCGGAAACUACAUGGCUAGAGUGCGUUCGGGGCAGAGGGAAUUCCUGGUGUAGCGGUGAAAUGCGUAGAUAUCAGGAAGAACACCGGUGGCGAAAGCGCUCUGCUAGGCCGCAACUGACACUGAGGGACGAAAGCUAGGGGAGCGAAUGGG